rnacentral:rRNA from 1 species
UACGAGGGGUGCAAGCGUUGCUCGGAAUUAUUGGGCGUAAAGGGUAGGUAGGUGGUCUCAUUUGUCAGGGGUGAAAGCCUUGGGCUCAACCUGAGAAGUGCCCCUGAAACGGUGAGACUAGAGUCCUGGAGAGGGUCGUGGAAUUCCCGGUGUAGCGGUGAAAUGCGUAGAGAUCGGGAGGAACACCAGAGGCGAAGGCGGCGACCUGGACAGGUACUGACACUCAACUACGAAAGCGUGGGGAGCAAACAGG